AACGAACGCUGGCGGCAUGCCUAACACAUGCAAGUCGAACGAGACCUUCGGGUCUAGUGGCGCACGGGUGCGUAACGCGUGGGAACCUGCACGUAGGUUCGGAAUAACUCCCCGAAAGGGGUGCUAAUACCGGAUAAUGUCUUCGGACCAAAGAUUUAUCGCCUUUGGAUGGGCCCGCGUUGGAUUAGCUAGUUGGUAGGGUAAAAGCCUACCAAGGCGACGAUCCAUAGCUGGUCUGAGAGGAUGAUCAGCCACACUGGGACUGAGACACGGCCCAGACUCCUACGGGAGGCAGCAGUGGGGAAUAUUGGACAAUGGGCGAAAGCCUGAUCCAGCAAUGCCGCGUGAGUGAUGAAGGCCUUAGGGUUGUAAAGCUCUUUUACCCGGGAUGAUAAUGACAGUACCGGGAGAAUAAGCUCCGGCUAACUCCGUG
rnacentral:rRNA from 1 species